CUACGGGUGGCAGCAGUGAGGAAUAUUGGUCAAUGGGCGGGAGCCUGAACCAGCCAAGUCGCGUGAGGGAAGACGGUCCUAUGGAUUGUAAACCUCUUUAGGCGGGGAGCAAUGCCGGGCACGCGUGCCUGGAGGGAGAGUACCCGCAGAAUAAGCAUCGGCUAACUCCGUGCCAGCAGCCGCGGUAAUACGGAGGAUGCGAGCGUUAUCCGGAUUUAUUGGGUUUAAAGGGUGCGUAGGCGGAUUUUUAAGUCAGCGGUAAAAUGUCCGGGCUCAACCCGGGCCGGCCGUUGAAACUGGGGAUCUUGAGUGGGCGAGAAGUAUGCGGAAGGCGUGGUGUAGCGGUGAAAUGCAUAGAUAUCACGCAGAACUCCGAUUGCGAAGGCAGCAUACCGGCGCCCGACUGACGCUGAGGCACGAAAGCGUGGGGAUCGAACAGGAUUAGAUACCCCAGUAGUC
rnacentral:rRNA from 1 species